AAACCAUGAUGUGGGCAUUGUCUGAGCAUACUAUUGUAUUUAUCCUAAGCUUCAAAUAAAGAUUCAAAAUCCGCUUGCUUGAAACUUGUAAUAAGAUUCCUCAUAU